rnacentral:rRNA from 1 species
CGGGUAGAGUAACGCGUGGGGAAUCUGCCUUUGAGCGGGGGACAACAUUUGGAAACGAAUGCUAAUACCGCAUAAAAACUUUAAACACAAGUUUUAAGUUUGAAAGAUGCAAUUGCAUCACUCAAAGAUGAUCCCGCGUUGUAUUAGCUAGUUGGUGAGGUAAAAGCUCACCAAGGCGAUGAUACAUAGCCGACCUGAGAGGGUGAUCGGCCACAUUGGGACUGAGACACGGCCCAAACUCCUACGGGAGGCAGCAG